AGAGUUUGAUCAUGGCUCAGAUUGAACGCUGGCGGCAGGCCUAACACAUGCAAGUCGAGCGGUAGCACAGAGAGCUUGCUCUCGGGUGACGAGCGGCGGACGGGUGAGUAAUGUCUGGGAAACUGCCUGAUGGAGGGGGAUAACUACUGGAAACGGUAGCUAAUACCGCAUAACGUCGCAAGACCAAAGUGGGGGACCUUCGGGCCUCAUGCCAUCAGAUGUGCCCAGAUGGGAUUAGCUAGUAGGUGGGGUAACGGCUCACCUAGGCGACGAUCCCUAGCUGGUCUGAGAGGAUGACCAGCCACACUGGAACUGAGACACGGUCCAGACUCCUACGGGAGGCAGCAGUGGGGAAUAUUGCACAAUGGGCGCAAGCCUGAUGCAGCCAUGCCGCGUGUGUGAAGAAGGCCUUCGGGUUGUAAAGCACUUUCAGCGGGGAGGAAGGCGGUGAGGUUAAUAACCUCAUCGAUUGACGUUACCCGCAGAAGAAGCACCGGCUAACUCCGUGCCAGCAGCCGCGGUAAUACGGAGGGUGCAAGCGUUAAUCGGAAUUACUGGGCGUAAAGCGCACGCAGGCGGUCUGUCAAGUCGGAUGUGAAAUCCCCGGGCUCAACCUGGGAACUGCAUUCGAAACUGGCAGGCUAGAGUCUUGUAGAGGGGGGUAGAAUUCCAGGUGUAGCGGUGAAAUGCGUAGAGAUCUGGAGGAAUACCGGUGGCGAAGGCGGCCCCCUGGACAAAGACUGACGCUCAGGUGCGAAAGCGUGGGGAGCAAACAGGAUUAGAUACCCUGGUAGUCCACGCCGUAAACGAUGUCGAUUUGGAGGUUGUGCCCUUGAGGCGUGGCUUCCGGAGCUAACGCGUUAAAUCGACCGCCUGGGGAGUACGGCCGCAAGGUUAAAACUCAAAUGAAUUGACGGGGGCCCGCACAAGCGGUGGAGCAUGUGGUUUAAUUCGAUGCAACGCGAAGAACCUUACCUGGUCUUGACAUCCACAGAACUUUCCAGAGAUGGAUUGGUGCCUUCGGGAACUGUGAGACAGGUGCUGCAUGGCUGUCGUCAGCUCGUGUUGUGAAAUGUUGGGUUAAGUCCCGCAACGAGCGCAACCCUUAUCCUUUGUUGCCAGCGGUCCGGCCGGGAACUCAAAGGAGACUGCCAGUGAUAAACUGGAGGAAGGUGGGGAUGACGUCAAGUCAUCAUGGCCCUUACGACCAGGGCUACACACGUGCUACAAUGGCAUAUACAAAGAGAAGCGACCUCGCGAGAGCAAGCGGACCUCAUAAAGUAUGUCGUAGUCCGG
rnacentral:rRNA from 1 species